AACCUUUAGCUAAAUAAAUAUUAAAGGCAACGCCUGCCCAGUGAACAAUUAAACGGCCGCGGUACCCUAACCGUGCAAAGGUAGCAUAAUCAUUUGUCUACUAAUUAUAGACCUGUAUGAAAGGCAAAAUGAGGAUCUAACUGUCUCUUAUAAUAAAUCAAUUAAACUGAUCUCCUAGUAAAAAAGCUAAGAUACCAACAUAAGACCAGAAGACCCUGUGAAGCUUAAACUAAACUAUUAAACCAAAUAAUAGCUACUUUCGGUUGGGGCGACCUUGGAAAAAAAAAGAACUUCCAAACUAAAUCAUUAAGAACUACCCCAGGCCAACAAGCCAACAAACGACCCAGCAUAGCUGACAAAUGAACCAAGUUACUCCAGGGAUAACAGCGCAAUCUUCUUCAAGAGCCCAUAUCAAAAAGAAGGUUUACGACCUCGAUGUUGGAUCAGGACAUCCUAAUGGUGCAGCCGCUAUUAAGGGUUCGUUUGUUCAACGAUUAAUAGUCCU
rnacentral:rRNA from 1 species